CCCGCUCACCCUUUUUAGCUAAAUUCUAAUUUCCCACCUUACUUAACAUUCUUUUGGAAAAAAUGAAACCUAACCGCAAACCCAGAUCUCUCCCUUCAUCUCUCAUCUUGUUUCCUGUUCUUCUCUUCAUCCCCACUCAUUGAUGAAAAGGCCAAUGCCAAUAAUCCGGUCAUCAGGUGAGCCCAUCAUCGGAUCUAAGGAAGAACAUGUAGCUGGUGUUGAAGAAGUGUGAGCCCAUUUUAGUAUUACUUGGAAAAUGGAGUGAGCCAAGGAGGAGGACGGCGAGGAAUUGGAGGAGUCUGAUGAUGAUGACGUGGCGGAAAAUGAAGAAGAGGAGGAGGAGGAAGAAGAAGAAGGUGGAGGCAAGAACGAAAUCGAGGAUGGUUUCUUUAAUAGAAGUCGACAUCUAUCACAUGUCAUUCUAUCAGAUUGAGAGGCAAACCUUCUCUCUCUUCUUCUUCGUCGUUAGCGACCUCCGACAAGUCACUGGUCACUCUGGUCUCUGUGGCUUCUAGCGAAGGAAGGCGAGAAGAGUUCCACACCGAAACGAUGACGGAUGAGGCGUCGGGGAAUCUGGAGUACGAUUUCUAUUGGAACCCAACAAAGUGAAGGACCCAGUAAUCAGGCCACUACAUGAACUGGAGAAAAGUAACUUAAUUGGAAGAUAUUCUAACUGAAAUUCCAUUGUGGAUCAAAUGCCCCGAUUACGAUUGAGUUAGUAUCGCCAUCCUAUCCUUUUACAUUGAACUUCUGCUCUUUCCUUCUCUAACUGCUGCUAAGAAUAUCUCAGUAACUUGUGAUAUGGCUUUAAUUUCUGGUUUGAAGUAUCGAAAUAUAGGGAUAUAUGGAUUCUUGAAAUUAAGGAUUUCUUGAUUGUUUGUGGCUGAUCAGCUUGGCAUUGAAUGUGGUUUGGGGUUUUGCUCAAAUCGGUUUUAGUUGCUCUGCUCUUAACCAUUGAAAUUAUUUCUUGACUCUUGUAAUUUAGGGAUUUUUUGACUCUUGAAAUGCGUAAAAUGUAGCUUGAUUCUUUGGAGCGUAUCUCAGCUUUCCAUUUGCUGUAGCUUGUCAACAAAAGGAGGUUGAAUCCAUGGGACCAAUUGCAGAGCGUUGGAGAAUCAGAAGUAAAAGUGUGUUACAUAUAUUGAGAUAUGAAGGCCCUUGGUUGAAGAGAAGAGCUGGGUUAGGCAUGGGUAUGGUUGCAGCCUAUAAUCCAAGUCUCCAUUAUCUCAUUGAAUCUCAUGGUUUUAUUGAAGAGGAUGCAAAAUCUUGUACAAUUUCUUUGCUUCUUUAAUGUAAAGCACUUCAUUUUUUUUUUAGAAAUAGAUAAC